GACGAACGCUGGCGGCGUGCCUAAUACAUGCAAGUUGAGCGCUGAAGGUUGGUACUUGUACCAACUGGAUGAGCAGCGAACGGGUGAGUAACGCGUGGGGAAUCUGCCUUUGAGCGGGGGACAACAUUUGGAAACGAAUGCUAAUACCGCAUAAAAACUUUAAACACAAGUUUUAAGUUUGAAAGAUGCAAUUGCAUCACUCAAAGAUGAUCCCGCGUUGUAUUAGCUAGUUGGUGAGGUAAAGGCUCACCAAGGCGAUGAUACAUAGCCGACCUGAGAGGGUGAUCGGCCCCAUUGGGACUGAGACACGGCCCAAACUCCUACGGGAGGCAGCAGGAGGGAAUCUUCGGCAAUGGACGAAAGUCUGACCGAGCAACGCCGCGUGAGGGAAGAAGGUUUUCGGAUCGUAAAACUCUGUUGGUAGAGAAGAACGUUGGUGAGAGUGGAAAGCUCAUCAAGUGACGGUAACUACCCAGAAAGGGACGGCUAACUACGUG
rnacentral:rRNA from 1 species